UCCCUGCUGGUCCAGAUGAUAGAGAAUCUGCCUGCAAUGCAGGAAACCCAGGUUUGAUCCCUGGGUCGGGAA
rnacentral:tRNA from 1 species